rnacentral:rRNA from 1 species
UACGUAGGGGGCGAGCGUUAUCCGGAAUUACUGGGUGUAAAGGGAGCGUAGACGGCGAGGUAAGCCUGAAGUGGAAGCCCGCGGCCCAACCGCGGAACUGCUUUGGGAACUGUUUUGCUGGAGUAUGGGAGGGGUAAGCGGAAUUCCUGGUGUAGCGGUGAAAUGCGUAGAUAUCAGGAGGAACACCGGUGGCGAAAGCGGCUCUCUGGUCUGUAACUGACGCUGAGGUUCGAAAGCGUGGGUAGCAAACAGG